UAUGAUACGAACAUUACGGGCAGCCUUAAUGAGUGCCAUUUCCGUGCCGACAGUUGUGAUUAGCCCGCACCCCAUUCGUCUCCCUCCCUCUCUACCAGUCUCCUCUCCUCCACGUAUCCAUCGCCGACCCAAGCAGCAAGCAAACCGUCAAACCCAACCCAACCCCCGCCGGCGAGACCGCCGGAGCCAUCAACCAUGGGCACAUACAAGN
rnacentral:lncRNA from 1 species